UAUACUUCAACCAUGGUUAGAGAGAGAGAGUCAUCUUUAGAGAGAGAAAUUCUCACAGUAGAGAGAGAAGCUAGCCAUACUUCAAUUAUCGUUGGAGAGAGAGAGUCAUCUUUUAGAGAGAGAAAUUCUCAGAGUAGAGAGAGAAAGUAGCCAUACUUCAACCAUGGUUAAGUCAACCAUGCAUUCAUGAGAACCAUGGUUAACUCGAAA
rnacentral:lncRNA from 1 species